GGGAUAGCCUUGCGAAAGUAAGAUUAAUACCCGGCGGUCUCGGAUGGCCGCAUGACUGUCCGAGUGAAGAUUUAUCGGUAUGAGAUGGCGAUGCGUCCCAUUAGCUUGUUGGUGAGGUAACGGCUCACCAAGGCAUCGAUGGGUAGGGGUUCUGAGAGGAAGGUCCCCCACAUUGGAACUGAGACACGGUCCAAACUCCUACGGGAGGCAGCAGUGAGGAAUAUUGGUCAAUGGACGAAAGUCUGAACCAGCCAAGUAGCGUGCAGGAUGACGGCCCUCUGGGUUGUAAACUGCUUUUAGUUGGGAAUAAAAAGAGGGACGUGUCCCUUAUUGUAUGUACCAUCAGAAAAAGGACCGGCUAAUUCCGUGCCAGCAGCCGCGGUAAUACGGAAGGUCCAGGCGUUAUCCGGAUUUAUUGGGUUUAAAGGGAGCGCAGGCGGCGGCGUAAGUCAGUUGUGAAAUCGUGCGGCUUAACCGUGCAAUUGCAGUUGAUACUGCGUCGCUUGAGUGCACACAGGGAUGUUGGAAUUCAUGGUGUAGCGGUGAAAUGCUUAGAUAUCAUGAAGAACUCCGAUCGCGAAGGCAUAUGUCCGGAGUGCAACUGACGCUGAGGCUCGAAAGUGUGGGUAUCAAACAGGAUUAGAUACCCUGGUAGUCCACACAGUAA
rnacentral:rRNA from 1 species